AUUGAACGCUGGCGGCAUGCCUUACACAUGCAAGUCGAACGGUAACAGGUUAAGCUGACGAGUGGCGAACGGGUGAGUAAUAUAUCGGAACGUGCCCAGUCGUGGGGGAUAACGUAGCGAAAGCUACGCUAAUACCGCAUACGAUCUACGGAUGAAAGCGGGGGAUCGCAAGACCUCGCGCGAUUGGAGCGGCCGAUAACAGAUUAGGUUGUUGGUGAGGUAAAAGCUCACCAAGCCUGCGAUCUGUAGCUGGUCUGAGAGGACGACCAGCCACACUGGAACUGAGACACGGUCCAGACUCCUACGGGAGGCAGGAGUGGGGGAUUUUGGACAAUGGACGCAAGUCUGGUCCAGCAAUGCCGGGUGCAGGACGAAGGCCUUCGGGUUGUAAACUGCUUUUGUACGGAACGGAACGGUGAGCUCUAAUACAGUUUGCUAAUGACGGUACCGUAAGAAUAAGCACCGGCUAACUACGUGCCAGCAGCCGCCGUAA
rnacentral:rRNA from 1 species